rnacentral:rRNA from 1 species
CCUACGGGAGGCAGCAGUGAGGAAUAUUGGUCAAUGGGCGAGAGCCUGAAGCAGCCAAGCCGCGUGAAGGAUGAAGGAUUUCUGGUUUGUAAACUUCUUUUAUAUGGGAAUAAAGUGAGGAACGUGUUCCUUUUUGUAUGUACCAUAUGAAUAAGCAUCGGCUAACUCCGUGCCAGCAGCCGCGGUAAUACGGAGGAUGCGAGCGUUAUCCGGAUUUAUUGGGUUUAAAGGGUGCGUAGGUGGUUAAUUAAGUCAGCGGUGAAAGUUUGUGGCUCAACCAUAAAAUUGCCGUUGAAACUGGUUGACUUGAGUAUAUUUGAGGUAGGCGGAAUGCGUGGUGUAGCGGUGAAAUGCAUAGAUAUCACGCAGAACUCCGAUUGCGAAGGCAGCUUACUAAACUAUAACUGACACUGAAGCACGAAAGCGUGGGGAGCAAACAGGAUUAGAUACCCUGGUAGUC